rnacentral:rRNA from 1 species
CUUUACUCUAGCUUGGCACUGAGUCGUACAUAUAUUUGUGCAGGAUAGGUGGGAGACUAUGAAAGAUGGACGCCAGUUCAUCUCGAGUCGUCGUUGAGAUACCACCCUUGUAUAUGUAUGCCCCUAACCCCUUUUUGGGGGACCGUGCUUGGUGGGGAGUUUAACUGGGGCGGUUGCCUCCUAAAACGUAACGGAGGCGCACAAAGGUAGGCUAGGUCCGGAUGGAAAUCGGACUGGUCGUGUAUUCGCACAAGCCUGCUUGACUGAGAGACCUACAAGUCGAUCAGAGACGAAAGUCGGUGAAAGUGAUCCGGCACCAACAUGUGGGAGUGGUGUCGCUCAACGGAUAAAAGUUA